ACAGCUAGAGUUUGAUCCUGGCUCAGGAUGAACGCUAGCUACAGGCUUAACACAUGCAAGUUGCGGGGCAGCGGGAAUGAAGCUUGCUUCAUUUGCCGGCGACCGGCGCACGGGUGCGUAACGCGUAUCGAACCUGCCCCAGUCAGGGGGACAGCCCUCUGAAAGGAGGAUUAAUACCCCAUGGUUCCCUUUUGCUGCAUGGUGAGAGGGAUAAAGGAGAGAUCCGGACUGGGAUGGCGGUGCGUAGGAUUAGCUGGUAGGCGGGGUAACGGCCCACCUAGGCGACGAUCCUUAGGGGUUCUGAGAGGAAGGUCCCCCACACUGGUACUGAGACACGGACCAGACUCCUACGGGAGGCAGCAGUGAGGAAUAUUGGUCAAUGGCCGCGAGGCUGAACCAGCCAAGUAGCGUGCAGGAGGACGGCCCUCUGGGUUGUAAACUGCUUUUAUACGGGAACAAAGUGCCUUACGUGAUAGGGUUUUGCGUGUACCGUAGGAAUAAGGACCGGCUAAUUCCGUGCC
rnacentral:rRNA from 1 species